rnacentral:tRNA from 1 species
GCCCCGGUAGCCCAAUCGGCAGAGGCAAGCGGCUUAAACCCGCUCCAGCGUGGGUUCGAGUCCCAUCCGGGGUA